GACGAACGCUGGCGGCGUGCUUAACACAUGCAAGUCGAACGGAAAGGCCCUGCUUUUGUGGGGUGCUCGAGUGGCGAACGGGUGAGUAACACGUGAGUAACCUGCCCUUGACUUUGGGAUAACUUCAGGAAACUGGGGCUAAUACCGGAUAGGAGCUCCUGCUGCAUGGUGAGGGUUGGAAAGUUUCGGCGGUUGGGGAUGGACUCGCGGCUUAUCAGCUUGUUGGUUGGGUAGUGGCAUACCAAGGCUUUGACGGGUAGCCGGCCUGAGAGGGUGACCGGCCACAUUGGGCCUGAGAUACGGCCCAGACUGGUACGGGAGGCAGCAGUGGGGAAUAUUGCACAAUGGGCGGAAGCCUGAUGCAGCAACGCCGCGGGCGGGAUGACGGCCUGCGGGUUGUAAACCGCUUUCGCCUGUGACGAAGCGGGAGUGACGGUAAUGGGUAAAGAAGCACCGGCUAACUACGUG
rnacentral:rRNA from 1 species